rnacentral:rRNA from 1 species
AUACGUAGGGGGCAAGCGUUGUUCGGAAUUACUGGGCGUAAAGGGCGCGUAGGCGGCAUGGCAAGUCGGGAGUGAAAGCCCGGGGCUCAACCCCGGAACUGCUUUCGAAACUGCCAAGCUAGAGUACGGAAGGGGCAACUGGAAUUCCCAGUGUAGCGGUGAAAUGCGUAGAUAUUGGGAAGAACACCGGAGGCGAAGGCGGGUUGCUGGGCCGAUACUGACGCUGAGGCGCGAAAGCCAGGGGAGCAAACGGGAUUAGAUACCCCGGUAGUCCUGGCCCUAAACGAUGGAUACUUGGUGUGUGGGGUUCUCAAAGUCCCCGCGUGCCGGAGCUAACGCGUUAAGUAUCCCGCCUGGGGAGUACGGUCGCAAGGCUGAA